rnacentral:rRNA from 1 species
UACGGGGGGGGCAAGCGUGGUUCGGAAUUACUGGGCGUAAAGGGCUCGUAGGCGGCCAACUAAGUCAGACGUGAAAUCCCUCGGCUUAACCGGGGAACUGCGUCUGAUACUGGAUGGCUUGAGGUUGGGAGAGGGAUGCGGAAUUCCAGGUGUAGCGGUGAAAUGCGUAGAUAUGACAUAGAACACCGAUAGCGAAGGCAGCUUACUACAGGAUGAUUGACGCUGAGGCACGAAAGCGUGGGGAGCAAACAGG